GAUGAACGCUGGCGGCGUGCCUAAUACAUGCAAGUCGAGCGAACAGACGAGGAGCUUGCUCCUCUGACGUUAGCGGCGGACGGGUGAGUAACACGUGGAUAACCUACCUAUAAGACUGGGAUAACUUCGGGAAACCGGAGCUAAUACCGGAUAAUAUAUUGAACCGCAUGGUUCAAUAGUGAAAGACGGUUUUGCUGUCACUUAUAGAUGGAUCCGCGCCGCAGUAGCUAGUUGGUAAGGUAACGGCUUACCAAGGCAACGAUGCGUAUCUGACCUGAGAGGGUGAUAGGCCACACUGGAACUGAGACACGGUCCAGACUCCUACGGGAGGCAGCAGUAGGGAAUCUUCCGCAAUGGGCGAAAGCCUGACGGAGCAGCGCCGCGUGAGUGAUGAAGGUCUUCGGAUCGUAAAACUCUGUUAUUAGGGAAGAACAAAUGUGUAAGUAACUAUGCACGUCUUGACGGUACCUAAUCAGAAAGCCACGGCUAACUACGUG
rnacentral:rRNA from 1 species